rnacentral:rRNA from 1 species
GACGAACGCUGGCGGCGUGCUUAACACAUGCCAGUCGAACGGAAAGGCCCUGCUUUUGUGGGGUGCUCGAGUGGCGAACGGGUGAGUAACACGUGAGUAACCUGCCCUUGACUUUGGGAUAACUUCAGGAAACUGGGGCUAAUACCGGAUAGGAGCUCCUGCUGCAUGGUGGGGGUUGGAAAGUUUCGGCGGUUGGGGAUGGACUCGCGGCUUAUCAGCUUGUUGGUGGGGUAGUGGCUUACCAAGGCUUUGACGGGUAGCCGGCCUGAGAGGGUGACCGGCCACAUUGAGACUGAGAUACAGCCCAGACUCCUACGGGAGGCAGCAGUGGGGAAUAUUGCACAAUGGGCGGAAGCCUGAUGCAGCAACGCCGCGUGCGGGAUGACGGCCUUCGGGUUGUAAACCGCUUUCGCCUGUGACGAAGCGUGAGUGACGGUAAUGGGUAAAGAAGCACCGGCUAACUACGUG